rnacentral:rRNA from 1 species
CACGCCGUAAACGAUGAAUACUAGGUGUAGGGGUUGUCAUGACCUCUGUGCCGCCGCUAACGCAUUAAGUAUUCCGCCUGGGGAGUACGGUCGCAAGAUUAAAACUCAAAGGAAUUGACGGGGGCCCGCACAAGCAGCGGAGCAUGUGGUUUAAUUCGAAGCAACGCGAAGAACCUUACCAGGUCUUGACAUCCUUUGCACGUUUUAGAGAUAGAACAUUCCCUUCGGGGACAAAGAGACAGGUGG